rnacentral:antisense_RNA from 1 species
GGAUUUGCGUGAAACCAGCCCAAGGUUCCGGGCCCCCCCCCAACCGAGCCCCGCGCCCGGGGACUGACUCGGGGACCGACUCAGGGACCUCCCGAGCGCCAGGACUCAGGGCCCGACCUGCAGCGGCUGCAGGCCCAGCGCCCGCAAGCGGCCUGGGCCGAGCGCCGUUUCCAGGCCCUCGCCAGGUCUUUGAACUGCAGAAAGAUUUUUCAACACUGCUUUUAUAAAUCUUUGUUCCGGCCCAACCAGAGGGGAGACCGUGGAGAGCUCAAGACCCCGUUUUUCCACGUUUAACCAGCGAGAUGAUGGGACGGAGGUGACGCGGCUGCAGCCAUGGAGGUGGCCCCUUGGGGAAGUGGCAGGUGCCCCGAGACAGGGGCCGCAAAGGCUGGCCUGGGGCCUGGAGCCAGCAUGGUGGAGGGGGGAUGUGCGUGGGUCCCCUUCCCUGGACCUGGUACUGGGGACUCCCUGUAAUCACGUCCUCGGAAGGUGUCUGGUCCAAGCUGCACUUGGGCCCUCCCGAGUCCACCAUGAGCACAGAGGAAACUUCCUAAACUCGCCCCACUCAGGCCACUCCACAGCCCAAAUCUUCCCCACCACACA